GAUGAACGCUGGCGGCGUGCUUAACACAUGCAAGUCGAACGAUGAAAGCGGGAGCUUGCUCCUGCUGGAUUAGUGGCGAACGGGUGAGUAACACGUGAGCAAUCUGCCCCGAACUCUGGGAUAAGCGUUGGAAACGACGUCUAAUACCGGAUACGACGCGCGAAGGCAUCUUCUGCGCGUGGAAAGAAUUUCGGUUCGGGAUGAGCUCGCGGCCUAUCAGCUAGUUGGUGAGGUAACGGCUCACCAAGGCGACGACGGGUAGCCGGCCUGAGAGGGUGACCGGCCACACUGGGACUGAGACACGGCCCAGACUCCUACGGGAGGCAGCAGUGGGGAAUAUUGCACAAUGGGCGAAAGCCUGAUGCAGCAACGCCGCGUGAGGGACGACGGCCUUCGGGUUGUAAACCUCUUUUAGUAGGGAAGAAGCGAAAGUGACGGUACCUGCAGAAAAAGCACCGGCUAACUACGUGCCAGCCGCCGCCGUAAAAC
rnacentral:rRNA from 1 species